rnacentral:rRNA from 1 species
GUCUAUGGCCAUGCCACCCUGAACAAGCCCAAUGUCUAAUCUCAGAAGCUAAGCAGGGUUGAGCCUGGUUAGUACUGGGAUGGGAGACCACCUAGAAAGACAAGGUGCUAUAGGUA